CGGUCCAGACUCCUACGGGAGGCAGCAGUGGGGAAUAUUGCACAAUGGGCGCAAGCCUGAUGCAGCCAUGCCGCGUGUGUGAAGAAGGCCUUCGGGUUGUAAAGCACUUUCAGCGGGGAGGAAGGCGGUGAGGUUAAUAACCUUGGCGAUUGACGUUACCCGCAGAAGAAGCACCGGCUAACUCCGUGCCAGCAGCCGCGGUAAUACGGAGGGUGCAAGCGUUAAUCGGAAUUACUGGGCGUAAAGCGCACGCAGGCGGUCUGUCAAGUCGGA
rnacentral:rRNA from 1 species